GAUGAACGCUGGCGGCGUGCCUAAUACAUGCAAGUCGAGCGAACAGACGAGGAGCUUGCUCCUCUGACGUUAGCGGCGGACGGGUGAGUAACACGUGGAUAACCUACCUAUAAGACUGGGAUAACUUCGGGAAACCGGAGCUAAUACCGGAUAAUAUUUUGAACCGCAUGGUUCAAUAGUGAAAGACGGUCUUGCUGUCACUUAUAGAUGGAUCCGCGCCGCAUUAGCUAGUUGGUAAGGUAACGGCUUACCAAGGCAACGAUGCGUAGCCGACCUGAGAGGGGUAACGGGCCAACUGGAACUGAGACAAGGGCCCAAAUCCUAAGGGAGGCAGCAGUAGGGAAUCUUCCGCAAUGGGCGAAAGCCUGACGGAGCAACGCCGCGUGAGUGAUGAAGGUCUUCGGAUCGUAAAACUCUGUUAUUAGGGAAGAACAAAUGUGUAAGUAACUAUGCACGUCUUGACGGUACCUAAUCAGAAAGCCACGGCUAACUACGUG
rnacentral:rRNA from 1 species